UACGUAGGGUCCGAGCGUUGUCCGGAGUUACUGGGCGUAAAGCGCGCGCAGGCGGCGGUGCUGGCCCGGCGUGAAAGCCCCCGGCUCAACCGGGGAGGGUCGUCGGGGACCGCACCGCUUGAGGGCGGUAGGGGCUGGUGGAAUGCCUGGUGUAGUGGUGAAAUGCGUAGAGAUCAGGCGGAACAACCGUGGCGAAGGCGGCCAGCUGGGCCGUCCCUGACGCUGAGGCGCGAAGGCGUGGGGAGCGAACGGG
rnacentral:rRNA from 1 species